rnacentral:rRNA from 1 species
GGAGGAUCAUUAUCGUAGGGCUUCGGCCCUGUCGAGAUAGAACCCUUGCCUUUUUGAGUACCUUUCGUUUCCUCGGCAGGCUCGCCUGCCAAUGGGGACCACAAAAAACACUUUGCAGUACCUGUAAUAGUCUGAACAAACAAACAAAAAUUAAAACUUUCAACAACGGAUCUCUUGGUUCUGGCAUCGAUGAAGAACGCAGCGAAAUGCGAUAAGUAGUGUGAAUUGCAGAAUUCAGUGAAUCAUCGAAUCUUUGAACGCACAUUGCGCCCUUUGGUAUUCCUUAGGGCAUGCCUGUUCGAGCGUCAUUUAAACCUUCAAGCUAAGCUUGGUGUUGGGUGACUGUCCGCUUCACUGCGGGCUCGCCUCAAAAUUAUUGGCGGCCGGUACAUUGGCUUCGAGCGCAGCAGAAACGCGAACUCGGGCCCGUCGUAUUGGCUCCCAGAAGCUAUCUUCACAAUUUUGACCUCGGAUCAGGUAGGGAUACCCGCUGAACUUAAGCAUAUCAAUAAGCGGAGGA